CCUACGGGAGGCAGCAGUGAGGAAUCUUGGUCAAUGGACGAGAGUCUGAACCAGCCAAGUAGCGUGAAGGAUGACUGCCCUAUGGGUUGUAAACUUCUUUUAUAUGGGAAUAAAACAGGGUAUGCAUACCCUCUUGUAUGUACCAUAUGAAUAAGGAUCGGCUAACUCCGUGCCAGCAGCCGCGGUAAUACGGAGGCUCCGAGCGUUAUCCGGAUUGAUUGGGUUUAAAGGGCGCGUAGGUGGAUUGUUAAGUCAGUUGUGAAAGUUUGCGGCUCAACCGUAAAAUUGCAGUUGAAACUGGCAGUCUUGAGUACAGUAGAGGUGGGCGGAAUUCGUGGUGUAGCAGUGAAAUGCUUAGAUAUCACGAAGAACACCGAUUGCGAAGGCAGCUCACUGGACUGCAACUGACACUGAGGCUCGAAAGUGUGGGUAGCAAACAGGAUUAGAUACCCCUGUAGUC
rnacentral:rRNA from 1 species